CGCGCGCGCUCAAGAUCGCGGAACAACACAGCACCGGAGAAAGUAGAUCCAUCCAGCGAGCAAAGGCCAGCCGAGGGAGAUCGUGUGGCAGCCAUCUCGCGUCGCCACGAAAACACGACAGUCGUUCGUCAUGCCUUGGAUAUAACAACAAAUCCUCCACGGGACAACCCAGGACGUGCAUUUCUCAGCACCCAGUCAACUGCCAAAAGUGACUCAAACACAGGCCACCAGUGGAACUCGGCUGUACCACUGCAGUGCUGCGGAAAUUGCCUUCACCAGUGGCUUUGCAACAGCUGUUUCGCAGCAUGUCGGAGACAAUGCCUACGAAAUUAUUGGCCCUGAUCAUGAGAGCCCUCAAGGGGCAAACAACAUCUCUGUUGCAGAAGUGAGCCCGGUACCACUUGG